rnacentral:lncRNA from 1 species
CUACGACUACGACUACCACUACGACUACGACUACUACGACUACUACGACUACUACGACUACUACGACUACUACGACUACUACGACUACUACGACUACUACGACUACUACGACUACUACGACUACUACGACUACUACUACUACUACUACUACUACUACUACUACUACUACUACUACUACGACUACCACUACGACUACCACUACCACUACCACUACCACUACCACUACCACUACCACUACCACUACCACUACCACUACCACUACCACUACCACUACCACUACCACUACCACUACCACUACCACUACCACUACCACUACCACUACCACUACCACUACCACUACCACUACCACUACCACUACCACUACCACUACCACUACCACUACCACUACCACUACCACUACCACUACCACUACCACUACCACUACCACUACCACUACCACUACCACUACCACUACCACUACCACUACCACUACCACUACCACUACCACUACCACUACCACUACCACUACCACUACCACUACCACUACCACUACCACUACCACUACCACUACCACUACCACUACCACUACCACUACCACUACCACUACCACUACCACUACGACUACGACUACGACUACCACUACGACUACGACUACGACUACGACUACGACUACCACUACCACUACCACUACCACUACGACUACGACUACGACUACGACUACGACUACCACUACGACUACGACUACCACUACGACU